rnacentral:rRNA from 1 species
AUUGAACGCUGGCGGCAGGCCUAACACAUGCAAGUCGAACGAGUGGCGGACGGGUGAGUAAUGUCUGGGAAACUGCCCGAUGGAGGGGGAUAACUACUGGAAACAGUAGCUAAUACCGCAUACCAUCGGAUGUGCCCAGAUGGGAUUAGCUAGUAGGUGGGGUAACGGCUCACCUAGGCGACGAUCCCUAGCUGGUCUGAGAGGAUGACCAGACACACUGGAACUGAGAGACGGUGCAGAGGCCUACGGGAGGCAGCAGGGGGAAAUAUUGUACAAGGGGGGAAACCCUGAUGAAGAAACGCCGCGUGCGUGAUGACGGCCCUCGGGUUGUAAACCGCUUUCAGCCAUGAAGCGGUAGUGGCAGAAGAAGCACCGGCUAACUACGUGCCAGCAGCCGCGGUAAUAC